UCUCCUGAUAACUGAUGAUGGAGGAGAAGACAUGAAAAACAAAUCAGGCUGAAUUCAAGUUCAAACACCACGAGGACCAACUGCAGUUCUGAUCUCACUGCUGAGCUGCACAACAAACCAAGCUCGUCUGACUGUGAGUCCCAGCAGCUCUCAGUUCUUUGAAUAUGACUCUGUGACUCUGAACUGUGAGGAGGACAACAGCUCUGCUGGAUGGACUCUGUGGAGAAAUGGAAGCAAACAUUGUCGAGGCCAGUUGGCAAAGCCAACCAGAUGUCACAUCAGUAAAAUCUUCUCAUGGGACAGUGGAGUUUACUGGUGUGAGUCCAGAGAGGGUCCCAUCAGUAACAUGGUUAAGCUGACAGUCACUGGUAAG